AACGCACAUUGCGCCCCGUGGUAUUCCGCGGGGCAUGCCUGUUCGAGCGUCAUUUCAACCCAUCAAGCUUUCUGCUUGGUCUUGGGGCCUGCGGUUCCGCAGCCUCUAAACUCAGUGGCGGUGCUAUUGAGCUCUGAGCGUAGUAAUUCUUCUCGCUAUAGGGUCUCCGUGGUUACUUGCCAGCAACCCCCAAUUUUUAUCAGGUUGACCUCGGAUCAGGUAGGGAUACCCGCUGAACUUAA
rnacentral:misc_RNA from 1 species